GUGGGGAAUAUUGCACAAUGGGGGAAACCCUGAUGCAGCGACGCCGCGUGGGGGAUGACGGCCUUCGGGUUGUAAACCUCUUUCAGUAGGGAAGAAGCCUUCGGGUGACGGUACCUGCAGAAGAAGUACCGGCUAACUACGUGCCAGCAGCCGCGGUAAUACGUAGGGUACAAGCGUUGUCCGGAAUUAUUGGGCGUAAAGAGCUCGUAGGUGGUCUGUCACGUCUGCUGUGGAAACGCAAGGCUCAACCUUGCGCGUGCAGUGGGUACGGGCGGACUAGAGUGCAGUAGGGGAGUCUGGAAUUCCUGGUGUAGCGGUGAAAUGCGCAGAUAUCAGGAGGAACACCGGUGGCGAAGGCGGGACUCUGGGCUGUAACUGACGCUGAGGAGCGAAAGCAUGGGGAGCGAACAGGAUUAGAUACCCUGGUAGUCC
rnacentral:rRNA from 1 species